UCUGGGUGGCAGUGUGGCUUGAAGCCUGACACACUGUAUGGGCUCAGAUUGUUCAUUGAAUAACCAAUGGGCAGACUCAGAUGGAGGUUUGGGCUCUGGAGUGCUCCGAGGUUUGGUAAAACUACAGACCUGACUGACUGCAAUUAUAGUUCGUGGCUUUACAUCUGGAUAAGUGAAUGGGGCUUAUUUUACUUGUAUAAGGCAAGAUUCUUUUUUUGUUUGCUUGUAUUUUUGGGGUCACGCCCCAUGCUACUCAGGUAUUACUUUGGGCUCUCUACUCAGGAAUUUCUCCUGGUGGUGCUUGGGGAACCAUAGGGAUGCCAGGGAUGGAACCUGGGUUAGCUGCCACUGUCACCAUCACUGUCAUCCCAUUGCUCAUCGAUUUGUUCUAGCUGGUACCAGUAACAUCUCUCAUUGUGAGACUUAUCGUUACUGUUUUUGGCAUAUGGAGUACACCACGAGUAGCUUGCCAGGCUCUGCCGUGCGGACGCAAUACUCUCGGUAGCUUUCCGGGCUCUCCAAGAGGGGCAGAGGAAUUGAACACGGGUCAGCUGCAUGAAAGGGACAAUAAAGCACCCCAUUUGGCAGCAGUGUUGGGAAGAGUGGAAGAAAGGACCCAGGCAACCAGUCCAAAGCUUUCUCGCUUCGUUGGAGAUCGACAGGCAUCUGGUGGCAGAGGCGGUUGGGAGAAAGUGACCGUGUUUUUCCUCUCCACUUCAUCUGAGCCACCCGUGGGCCCAACGACACCAUCCUCACGAAUCAAAAGGUUCCAGCAACUGAUUUUGGGAAAACUGGAGAAUGAUGUGCAAAUAAUGUAACUAUACUCCGGCCUCACACUAGGCACCAAGAUCACUUCCAAUGAACGAAAGACUUCAGCAUUUGAUCAAAGCCACAAAGUAUAUUGAAAAAACUCAUGAUUUGAUCUCAUUGGGAAAGCAAAGGCCGCAACAACGUUCACCUUUAGUGGUUAAAAAAUAAAAAACUGGUGGUCAGUUAUGCUGCAAGAGAGCUGACAGGUUCACACAGCUUAUCCCUGAGGAUGUCAAUGAUAUUUCAUUCAACACAGAAAAGAGGAUCCC